rnacentral:rRNA from 1 species
CUAUGCGCCUUGCCAGCCCGCUCAGGUGUGCCAGCCGCCGCGGUAAUACGUAGGUGGCAAGCGUUGUCCGGAUUUACUGGGUGUAAAGGGCGUGUAGCCGGGCUGACAAGUCAGAUGUGAAAUCCGGGGGCUCAACCCCCGAACUGCAUUUGAAACUGUUGGUCUUGAGUAUCGGAGAGGCAGGCGGAAUUCCUAGUGUAGCGGUGAAAUGCGUAGAUAUUCGGAGGAACACCGGUGGCGAAGGCGGCCAACUGGGCUUUAACUGACGCUGAGGCUCGAAAGUGUGGGGAGCAAACAGG